CUGGGGUCCUUCCCAUCAAAACCUUGAGGAACAGCACUCCAAAAGGCUAACUCCAAUCUUCUCUAAUCAACAAAUCUGCAAUAUCAAUAAGGAAAGGACUACUAACCUGUUGCUGAUGGCCGAGAUGACUUGAGGCAACGCCGGCAACGAAGAAGAGGAAGGAAAGAGCGACUCCAAGCUGAAAAGACGGUCUCCUCUUCCUAGUAUCCUGAUGGCUGAAAUGGCGGGAUACACAGUCUCCUCUUUCUUGUGUCCUGAUGGCUGAAAAGACAGGCUACGCAGCCUCCUCUUCCUAGUAUCCUGAUGGCUGAAAAUAUGCGCUACACAGCCUCCUCUUCCUAGUGUCCUGAUGGCUGAAUAAAUGGGCUAAACGGCCUCCUCUUCCUAGUAUCCUGAUGGCUGAAAUGACGGGCUACACGGCCUCCUCUUCCUAGUGUCCUGCUGGCUGAAAAGACAGGCUACAUGGCCUCCUCUUCCUAGUAUCCUGAUGGUUGAAAUGAUGGGAUACACAGCCUCCUCUUCCUAGUAUCCUGAUGGCUGAAAUGAUGGGAUACACAGCCUCCUCUUCCUAGUAUCCUGAUGGUUGAAAUGAUGGGAUACACAGCCUCCUCUUCCUAGUGUUCUGAUGGAUAAUGUCUAAUCGCUGGAAAAUAAACUUUGUGAACUCAGAGCAAGGCUUCAAUCGCCGAGGGACAUCAGGGAAUGCUGUGUCUUUGUUCUUACUGAGAUGUGGCAUACGGACAAUACACACGAGCCUGAUAUUCAAGCAGAUGGCUUUUCCAUAUUCUGAAUGGAUCUAACAGCGGCUUCUGGUAAGAGUCAGGGGGAGAGGUAUGUUUCCUCAUAAACAAUUCCUUGUGUACCGAAGUUGAUAACGUCGCAAGAUCCUGUUCACCCAACCUGGAGUUCCUGAUGCUAACAUGCCGACCCCGCUAUACAUCGAGGGAAUUCACUAUUAUUAUCACAGCUGUGUACAUAUGCCACAAGACAACACAAAGGUGGCACUCAGCGAACUGUACAAGAUCAUUAGCCAGCAACAAUCUGCUCACCUGGAAGCAGUCUUUAUUGUCGUGGGUGACUUUAUCUAAGCCCGUCUAAAACACAUUUCCCCAAAAUUUCCCCAACAUGUAUCCUGCCCCACAACAGGUAUCAGUGUACUUGAACAUGUAGACGUCACCGAUGUUUUUGUAAACAAAGCCAUCCCCCACCCCACUUUAGCCAAUUAGACCAUGUCUCUCUGUUUCUACUCCCCACCUACAAGCAGCAACUCGAGAUGGAACCACCAACACAGAGAAUAGUUUGCGCUGGAUAGAGGAGGCAGACUCAAUGCUGCAGGAUUGUUUUGACAAUACUGAUUGGAAUAUGUUCAGAGAUUCAACCUCCAAGGACUCAUCCAUCAACAUUGAGGAAUAUACAGUACAUCGUCAGUCACAGGUUUCAUUAGGAAAUUGUGUUGAUGAUGUUGUACCCACAAUAACAACCUGGCUGUACCAUAACCAAAUACCCUGGAUGAACAGAGAUAUCCUGGCGGGCUUCUUCUCUUCUCGACAUCUUCAACCUGUCCCUGUCCCAGGCUGUACUCCACACCUACUUUAAGAAGACCACCAUCGUCCCAGUGCCCAAAAAAAAA